CUUCUUUAUCGUCAUCAUCAUUGUCAUCUUUAACUUGGAUAAGCCCAUCAUCGCCGCCAGUAACAACUGAGAGUCUGGCUAAUGUAUAUGUUUGUAAACUUGAUGGAAUUGAAAUUAGCAGAGAAAGUUCCCUGAAGGAGGCAUUGGUUUUGUUCGAAGACUUCGCCGAUCUGUGUCAAAGCAUAACAAAAGCUAUCAUAGGCCAAC